CCUACGGGAGGCAGCAGUGGGGAAUCUUGGGCAAUGGACGCAAGCCUGACCCAGCAACGCCGCGUGAAGGAAGAAGGCUUUCGGGUUGUAAACUUCUUUUCUGAGGGACGAAGAAAGUGACUGUACCUCAGGAAUACGCCACGGCUAACUACGUGCCAGCAGCCGCGGUAAUACGUAGGUGGCAAGCGUUAUCCGGAUUUAUUGGGUGUAAAGGGCGUGUAGGCGGGAAAGCAAGUCAGAUGUGAAAACUCAGGGCUCAACCCGGAGGCUGCAUUUGAAACUGUUUUUCUUGAGUGCGGGAGAGGCAAUCGGAAUGCCGUGUGUAGCGGUGAAAUGCGUAGAUAUACGGAGGAACACCAGUGGCGAAGGCGGAUUGCUGGACAGUAACUGACGCUGAGGCGCGAAAGCGUGGGGAGCAAACAGGAUUAGAUACCCCAGUAGUC
rnacentral:rRNA from 1 species